UACGUAGGGGGCAAGCGUUGUCCGGAAUCAUUGGGCGUAAAGCGCGUGUAGGCGGUUCGGUAAGUCUGCUGUGAAAGUCCAGGGCUCAACCCUGGGAAGCCGGUGGAUACUGUCGGACUAGAGUACGGAAGAGGCGAGUGGAAUUCCCGGUGUAGCGGUGAAAUGCGCAGAUAUCGGGAGGAACACCAAUUGCGAAGGCAGCUCGCUGGGACGUCACUGACGCUGAGACGCGAAAGCGUGGGGAGCAAACAGG
rnacentral:rRNA from 1 species